rnacentral:rRNA from 1 species
GACGAACGCUGGCGGCGUGCUUAACACAUGCAAGUCGAACGGAAAGGCCCUGCUUGCAGGGUACUCGAGUGGCGAACGGGUGAGUAAUACGUGGGUGAUCUGCCCUGCACUUCGGGAUAAGCCUGGGAAACUGGGUCUAAUACCGGAUAGGAGCCAUUUUUAGUGUGAUGGUUGGAAAGUUUUUUCGGUGUAGGAUGAGCUCGCGGCCUAUCAGCUUGUUGGUGGGGUAAUGGCCUACCAAGGCGGCGACGGGUAGCCGGCCUGAGAGGGUGGACGGCCACAUUGAGACUGGGAUACAGCCCAGACUCCUACGGGCGGCAGCAGUAGGGAAUAUUGCAAAAUGGGCGCAAGCCUGAUGCAGCGACGCCGCGUGGGGGAUGACGGCCUUCGGGUUGUAAACUCCUUUCGCUAGGGACGAAGCUUUUUGUGACGGUACCUAGAUAAGAAGCGCCGGCUAACUACGUG